GCUGUGUGUGCUUGGAGCCCCAGACACUCAGUUCAGAGCAGGAAAGAAGGGACAUCCCAGCUAUGGAACAUCCUCAGCGUGGCUCUUCAGACACAAAAGGAAACCUUCUCUGACUCCAUGUUCAGGUGUUGGAGGAUGUGGAGCUGUUGGUGCCUGAGGUCUGAGCACAGCCCAAAUGAGGGUGAUACAGGCAACACAAACCCCCAGGACAUUGUUUUCCAGACCAUGAACUGAUGCUUUUGGCUGCUGCAGAAGCUCCCCCGUCUCAUCUGAAGUUGCUGAAAAGCCUCUGCCAGUGCCUUGAUGUUCUCCCCCCCAAGGGAAUUAAUCACUGGGAAGGAAUGGAGAGCACAGCACAAAGAGCAGGCGUGGUCCAGACCUCACAGGACUAAUUAUGCUCUUAAAGGGACUGAGUUGCUAAUUUGGGAUGGUCACGGGAGCUGCUCUGGAAAUGCCUGCAAGAGCAGCACUUUGUCUCAUCUGGAGCUCAUCUGCCAGCUGAAUGCAUAUCAAGCAAAUGAAAAUAUAUCAGCACAACACAGAAUUAAGGGUCAAGGAAAAUAUUGUUGCUAAGAAGCUGGAGACACUGAAGAUACUCAAAACUGAUGGGCCAGAACCUCUUGCAUCCAUACCUGUGAGAAAGGAA